rfam:Ovis aries breed Texel chromosome 5, whole genome shotgun sequence.
UCCCUGGUGGCUUAGAGGUUAAAGUGCCUGCCUCCAAUGCGAGAGACCCGGGUUUGAUCCCUGGGUCGGGAA